rnacentral:rRNA from 1 species
CUUGUCUCAAAGAUUAAGCCAUGCAUGUCUAAGUAUAAGCAAUUAUACCGCGAAACUGCGAAUGGCUCAUUAAAUCAGUUAUCGUUUAUUUGAUAGUACCUUACUACUUGGAUAACCGUGGUAAUUCUAGAGCUAAUACAUGCUAAAAAUCCCGACUUCGGAAGGGAUGUAUUUAUUAGAUUAAAAACCAAUGCCCUUCGGGGCUCCCUGGUGAUUCAUAAUAACUUCUCGAAUCGCAUGGCCUUGCGCCGGCGAUGGUUCAUUCAAAUUUCUGCCCUAUCAACUUUCGACGGCUGGGUCUUGGCCAGCCAUGGUGACAACGGGUAACGGAGGGUUAGGGCUCGACCCCGGAGAAGGAGCCUGAGAAACGGCUACUACAUCCAAGGAAGGCAGCAGGCGCGCAAAUUACCCAAUCCCGACGCGGGGAGGUAGUGACAAUAAAUACUGAUACAGGGCUCUUUUGGGUCUUGUAAUUGGAAUGAGUACAAUUUAAAUCCCUUAACGAGGAACAAUUGGAGGGCAAGUCUGGUGCCAGCAGCCGCGGUAAUUCCAGCUCCAAUAGCGUAUAUUAAAGUUGUUGCAGUUAAAAAGCUCGUAGUUGAACCUUGGGCCUGGCUGGCCGGUCCGCCUCACCGCGUGCACUGGUCCGGCCGGGCCUUUCCCUCUGGGGAACCGCAUGCCCUUCACUGGGUGUGCUGGGGAACCAGGACUUUUACUUUGAAAAAAUUAGAGUGUUCAAAGCAGGCCUAUGCUCGAAUACAUUAGCAUGGAAUAAUAGAAUAGGACGUGUGGUUCUAUUUUGUUGGUUUCUAGGACCGCCGUAAUGAUUAAUAGGGACAGUCGGGGGCAUCAGUAUUCAAUUGUCAGAGGUGAAAUUCUUGGAUUUAUUGAAGACUAACUACUGCGAAAGCAUUUGCCAAGGAUGUUUUCAUUAAUCAGGAACGAAAGUUAGGGGAUCGAAGACGAUCAGAUACCGUCGUAGUCUUAACCAUAAACUAUGCCGACCAGGGAUCGGACGAUGUUAUUUUUUGACUCGUUCGGCACCUUACACGAAAGUACAAGUUUCUGGGUUCUGGGGGGAGUAUGGUCGCA